rnacentral:misc_RNA from 1 species
GAUGAAGAACGUAGCGAAAUGCGAUACUUGGUGUGAAUUGCGGAAUCCCGUGAACCAUCGAGUCUUUGAACGCAAGUUGCGCCCGAAGCCAUUAGGCCAAGGGCACGCCUGCCUGGGCGUCACACGUCGUUGCCCCCCCAUCUACUCCUUCGGGAUUGCGGGGGGCGGAUGAUGGCCUCCCGUGCGCCUCGCCGCGCGGUUGGCAUAAAUGCCAAGUCCUCGGCGACGCACGCCACGACAAUCGGUGGUUGCGAAACCUCGGUUGCCCGUCGUGUGCGGUCGUCGCGCAUCGAGGGCUCGAAAAAAUUGCCGGGUUCCGGCUCGGCUUUCAACGCGACCCCAGGUCAGGCGGGGUUACCCGCUGAAUUUAAGCAUAUCAAUAAGCGGAGGA